rnacentral:lncRNA from 1 species
GUGGCAGGCGGACGCGAGCUGCCCUGGCUCUCCCCGCGCCCCUGUCUCUCCCCUUCUCUCCCCGGAGCAGCGGCGGCGGACAAGCGGACCCGAGUAGCAGCUUGACGGCGGGCUGCAGCGGCAGCCAGCUUUGCGUUGUUUUUAUUUUUUUUUAAAGUUGGAAUUUCUUUGCCGAAGGCCAAAAUGGGAGCCUCCUGCAAAGCCACGCCGUGCCGUUUGUUCUCGUUAUCUCCUUUUCUUUGCCGAAGCCACGAAAUGCCGCCGGCAAAGGUUUUGCCGAAGGGACCGUGAAAAAGCCUCCGGCAAAGAAGCCUUUACCGGCAGGUCUUGGUACCGACGGCGUUCCGGGCCUCCGGCAACACCCGUUUUUCCCGUAGUGAAAAAAGUACAACUCCCAAUUUUGUUGUUACUUUAUAAACGUAUAAUUUAGAUGAUACUACAAUCGAAACUAACAUAAACAUCAAAGAUUAUUAGUAAAACUAAAAUGUGUUAUGUAUGAACGUGAGUUUCUGGAACCCGGGAUCCUCGAUGGACUCAAUCCUGCGCGUUCGAAAAGGCUGCUGCCGCCCCUAUAGGAGAUGGAAUCUGGCCCAGUACAUGGUAUAGAAUAGUAGCAAUACUGGGUGAUUUGAGACAGAUUCCUGGGCCAUUUGAGAUGGGUUUUCUGUACCAUGGUCCGCGUGAUCGGUGAAACGGUGGCCUUGAUCUGGUCCACCGAAAGUGGUAGGACCUACAAGUAAUAUUCGGUUAUGUAUUAUGGUCUUUCGAAAUCAACAUACCCCUCCGCUCCGUUAUAUACAAAUCCACGUUACUUAUUAUUUUUAUUUUAAGACGGUUACAUCAGUAUGCGUCGAAACUCCGAUUCUUGUUUGAAACAGUAGUGCGGACUGCAAAAGCCAUACCACUACACUAUUACGAAUGCUUUAG